GUGCCAGCCGCCGCGGUAACACCAGCGGCCCGAGUGGUGAUCGUGAUUAUUGGGUCUAAAGGGUCCGUAGCCGGUUUGGUCAGUCCUCCGGGAAAUCUGACAGCUCAACUGUUAGGCUUUCGGGGGAUACUGCCAGACUUGGAACCGGGAGAGGUAAGAGGUACUACAGGGGUAGGAGUGAAAU
rnacentral:rRNA from 1 species